ACAGUUAUGUUAGGUCUAGUUGGUUAUGACGUCGGUCUCAUAGAACCCAACUGUGAUCUUGUGCCCACAAACACAAGAAGUUAUCCGAAGGUCGCGAGUUCGAUUCUCGCUCUGUA
rnacentral:tRNA from 1 species